rnacentral:rRNA from 1 species
CCUACGGGUGGCAGCAGUCGAGAAUCAUUCACAAUGGGGGAAACCCUGAUGGUGCGACGCCGCGUGGGUGAUUGAAGGCUUUCGGUCUGUAAACCCCUGUCAUGUGGGAGCAAAUACAUAAGAUUGUAUCAUCAGAGGAUGAGACGGCGUACUUUGGGCCAGCAGCCGCGGUAAUACCGAGGUCGCACGCGUUGUCCGCAAUCUCUGGGCGUAAAGCGUGCUCAGGCGGUUUAGGAAGUCGUGUGUGAAAGGCGAGGGCUCAACCCGCGGCCGGCACCUGCUACUGGGAGACUAGAGUGAGGAAGAGGGAAGCGGAAUUCGCGGUGUAGCAGUGAAAUGCGUAGAUAUCGGGAGGAACACUCGUGGCGAAGGCGGGUUCCUGGACAUUAACUGACGCUGAGGCACGAAGGCCAGGGGAGCGAAAGGGAUUAGAUACCCUAGUAGUC